CUAAAUACUCUCUAGUGACCGAUAGUGAACCAGUACCGUGAGGGAAAGGUGAAAAGCACCCCGGAAGGAGAGUGAAAUAGAACCUGAAACCGUGUGCUUACAAGUAGUCAGAGCCCGUUAAUGGGUGAUGGCGUGCCUUUUGUAGAAUGAACCGGCGAGUUACGAUUUGAUGCAAGGUUAAGCAGUAAAUGUGGAGCCGUAGCGAAAGCGAGUCUGAAUAGGGCGUUUAGUAUUUGGUCGUAGACCCGAAACCAGGUGAUCUACCCUUGGUCAGGUUGAAGUUCAGGUAACACUGAAUGGAGGACCGAACCGACUUACGUUGAAAAGUGAGCGGAUGAACUGAGGGUAGCGGAGAAAUUCCAAUCGAACCUGGAGAUAGCUGGUUCUCUCCGAAAUAGCUUUAGGGCUAGCCUCAAGUGAUGAUUAUUGGAGGUAGAGCACUGUUUGGACGAGGGGCCCCUCUCGGGUUACCGAAUUCAGACAAACUCCGAAUGCCAAUUAAUUUAACUUGGGAGUCAGAACAUGGGUGAUAAGGUCCGUGUUCGAAAGGGAAACAGCCCAGACCACCAGCUAAGGUCCCAAAAUAUAUGUUAAGUGGAAAAGGAUGUGGCGUUGCCCAGACAACUAGGAUGUUGGCUUAGAAGCAGCCAUCAUUUAAAGAGUGCGUAAUAGCUCACUAGUCGAGUGACACUGCGCCGAAAAUGUACCGGGGCUAAACAUAUUACCGAAGCUGUGGAUUGUCCUUUGGACAAUGGUAGGAGAGCGUUCUAAGGGCGUUGAAGCAUGAUCGUAAGGACAUGUGGAGCGCUUAGAAGUGAGAAUGCCGGUGUGAGUAGCGAAAGACGGGUGAGAAUCCCGUCCACCGAUUGACUAAGGUUUCCAGAGGAAGGCUCGUCCGCUCUGGGUUAGUCGGGUCCUAAGCUGAGGCCGACAGGCGUAGGCGAUGGAUAACAGGUUGAUAUUCCUGUACCACCUAUAAUCGUUUUAAUCGAUGGGGGGACGCAGUAGGAUAGGCGAAGCGUGCGAUUGGAUUGCACGUCUAAGCAGUAAGGCUGAGUAUUAGGCAAAUCCGGUACUCGUUAAGGCUGAGC
rnacentral:rRNA from 1 species